rnacentral:lncRNA from 1 species
CGCAAAGAGAGGUUUCCAGUGGGGACUUACAACAAGCUCAAGCCAAAGAAGUAUGGUCCCUACAAAGUUUUGAAGAAGAUCAAUAGCAAUGCCUAUGUCAUUGGUUUGCCUUACACUACAAUAAAAGAGGAAAAAGCCGAUGCUUAACUGCCGACGCUAGGGGAAAGCGUUGGCAAAUUCUGCUCCUGCGCCAAAUUUUUCCGACGCUUUUUAUGAGUGUCGGUAAUUUGAAGCAGUGAACGACACUUAAAAGCGUCGUCGUAGAACUAAGACCAAACGAUGCUUUAACGCGUCGUUCUUUUGGCCUAAGACGACACGUAUAAGCGUGGUUAAUUGAAACGCUAAUACGGCGCUUAUAAGCGUCGCCGAAGCCCGUUUAAAACCCAGCGGCUGAGCCCGAGCCUGCAUACGUGCCCCAGCUACUCCCGAUCGAGCCUCCUCAUUCUCCUCUCCGGCGCUGUCCUAGCCUUCGUCUUCCUCGUCUCCGGCGCUGCCUUAGCCCCCAUCUUCCUCCUCUCCGGCGCUGCCUUAGCCCCCAUCUUCCUCCUCUCCGGCGCGGACCAUCCGACUCCUACCUCCUCUCCUCCUCCCUCCUCUCCGGCGUCGACUGACUGACCCCAACCCGCUCCGCCCAA